rnacentral:rRNA from 1 species
CCUACGGGAGGCAGCAGUGGGGAAUAUUGGACAAUGGGCGAAAGCCUGAUCCAGCAAUGCCGCGUGAGUGAUGAAGGCCUUAGGGUUGUAAAGCUCUUUUACCAGGGAUGAUAAUGACAGUACCUGGAGAAUAAGCUCCGGCUAACUCCGUGCCAGCAGCCGCGGUAAUACGGAGGGAGCUAGCGUUGUUCGGAAUUACUGGGCGUAAAGCGUGCGUAGGCGGUGACUCAAGUCAGAGGUGAAAGCCUGGAGCUCAACUCCAGAACUGCCUUUGAAACUAGGUCGCUAGAAUCAUGGAGAGGUGAGUGGAAUUCCGAGUGUAGAGGUGAAAUUCGUAGAUAUUCGGAAGAACACCAGUGGCGAAGGCGGCUCACUGGACAUGUAUUGACGCUGAGGCACGAAAGCGUGGGGAGCAAACAGGAUUAGAUACCCUGGUAGUCCACGACGUAACGAUAGAUAACUAGCUGCACGGCGUCAUGAGCUUGGUGGUCGCNGCUACGCAUUAAGUUAUCCGCCGUCGGGAGGUACGGUCGCGAGAGUUAAACGUUAAAGUAGUAGUAGACGCGNGAGAGCGACGACGACGACGACGGAGGGAGGAGG